UUUGUGCCCUUUCGCCAUUGGAGCAGUCGCCGAUGACGCGCAAUGCUGCUGCUGACUAUUUGAGGCAGCAGCAACAUUGGGAAGAAGUGGCGGUGGUGGUGCUAACAACAGCGGGGAGACGGGAAGGAAAGCACGUACAGGCGAGGAGCGCACACGCGGACGGCCACGGGCGCCCAGUCCUGCAAAGCUGCGACUCCUACCGACUUUCGAAAUAGGACAGGGUAGGAAGGAGACCCGGCCUCGCCAGGAGGCGAGAAAAAGAAGCAUCUCCAGCCCGGCGCCGGAGACCACAAGAACCCGGACUCCAGCGUAGAGGUCGAUGCUUCCCUCUCCUGCAGCUUGGCUUGGCGAGUGUCGCUUUUAAAGCAAAAAGGGGACGGGAAGGGACAGAAAAAACUUCCGCUCGUAAGAAAAGCGGCCGGAUCGUAUGCCUCUCUCCUUCGCCAUCCUUCGGCCUCUGGGAUUUUACCGCUCGGGAGACUGAGGACUUGCAACCUGAAUUGUGGAAUAAUAAUAAAUAACCAUAAGCGAGAUCUACAGCUGCUUCGCGGAUGUUGGCCCUUCGCCCGGAAAACGGGCGAAAGCCGGGUUUCCUGCUUUCGCGUGUCCUCCCGCCUCACCGAGAACCUUGGCAGAAGUUUACAUUGCUCCGGGGUCAGGGGCUGCUCUCGCUUCUUAAAGGAAAAUCGGCAUCGUAACAGCUCCUUGGACUUUCCGGAGCGGGAUCCGGGCAAAUCCUGCCCCGCGGCUUGCGCUUCGGAGAGCCUUGCACCAUCCCCAGCGUCCUUCCCUCCCCACCGCCAGGUGAGCGAUGAGUCAUUAAAGCAUCAUCGCUGCGCCACCAGCCGGAACACAAAAGAUGCUUUAGGCACCAAUCCUUCAAACAAGGCGCUGUAGUUUGUUUUUGCUGUCCUUCAAAAGGGGUUUAAAAAAAAUCUUUCUAAGCGAGAGUGCGCUCGACUGAUGGCCGCGGAGGGGGAUCCCUCCCGCUGAUGCCCCUGGACCAUGAUUGCUUCUAUGGGCGGAUCAUGAAGUGUUUGACUUUCUUUCUUCUGCUUCCAGAGACCUUAAAGAAGUCCAAAAAGAGCGUCCGGGCCAACAGCAAAGGGGCACCAUGCUAUGAGAUAUUGCCCCUGGGCCUCAAAAAGAAGAUGGCUGCGGAACUUUACCCUGCCAGCGCCAAUACCAAUCUCGCAAACAGCAAUAACGCCGCCGCCGCCAACACCAAGAAAAACGCCCUUCAGUUCCAGCAGAGCGCGCAGCCCCCGCCGCCGCCGCCGCUGCAAAACCUCAACAACAACAACGUGGAGAGCGCUAACUGGCAGUCCUUCCACCCCACCCUGCGAGAGAGAAACGCACUGAUGUUCAACAGUGAACUUAUGGCUGAUGUGCAUUUCAUUGUGGGCCCAGUGGGGGCAGCAAAGAAAGUUCCUGCUCACAAGUAUGUAUUGGCAGUGGGUAGUUCGGUCUUCUACGCAAUGUUUUAUGGAGAUCUUGCAGAGGUCAAGUCUGAAAUCCAUAUACCAGAUGUAGAACCUGCUGCUUUCCUAAUCUUGUUAAAAGAUCCAGGUUCCAGGUUGUCUCUUUGAAAUAUAUGGGGGAAAGAAGCUACAUCAAUCCUGCAGACAAAUAUACAAACUGUAACAUGUCACUGCAUAUUCCAAUAUAUGAAAGGUAAGUUUCUGAGAUCAGGUGGAGGUGAAAUUCCAUGUGAAUUACAACCUAAAAAAGAACUAUCCUGUCAUAAACUGCUGCGAUUCCUGCAGUUUCAAAAAUCUCUUCAUCAGCCCACAUGCAACGAAAGUAAAAAUAAAAACAAGCAAGCAAGCAGCCUUGCACUUUAUCCUCAGAGGUGUCAAAGAGAAGUGAGAAGUAGAAAAACAUCUUCCCAGGACAAAGCGGAAAGUGCAAAAUAGUCAACUUCCUUUACAGUAUCCAAAGCUCAUAAUCUACCAAUACAUGUGAUUCUCAAUUUUACUUUCAGUUAUUGGACAAUGAAAAAAUAAUAAGUAGAAAGUUAGAGAAAAGAUCAGUACACAGUGUUAUCCAGAAAAACUGGAUGCUAACAACAUCAAAACUGUUCAAGUUCAGAAUUUCAAAAUAGGCUUUCUUAAUGCAUCUGUAGACAGCAGGCUAUGAAUCAUCUCAUUCAAGAACUCUUGGUAGAAGCAAUCACAUUCUCCAUGCUUGUUAAUCAUUUGUUCUUUACUAUUUACGGAACUAUGCAAUAUAUAAAAUUCUGUAAAAUUACUGAAAAUAAAUUUUACUGCAUUUUUAAUCAAAAACCCUACAGCUUUAACAUUUGCCAAGUUUAGUUUUACCCUUUUCACUGAGUAGCUAUAGAAAACUGAUCAACAAUCCAUGUUUUGUUUGAGAAGUCAAACAAGACAUCUGAGCCAAAUGUUGUACUAUUCUCUUAUUCUCUCAUUAAAUUUAUGCUUAAACCUUUCCAUUUAAAGAAAGGGGUAAUGCAUUACCCCUUUCUUUAAAAGGAAAGGUAUGAGCAUAAUGAAACAUUAUGAGUAUUAAUAAAACAAUUUUAUGUAGUGAAUACAAUGCUGGCCUAGAAACUAGAAGACUAUGAAUUCUAGACUUUGACCAGCUUCUCUCUUUCUCUCUCUCAGCCCAACCCAUCUCACAGGGCUGUUGUGGGGGGAAAAAGGAGGAAGAAGGAGUAUUAGAUAUGUUCGGCACCUUGGUUACUUAUGAAGUAAUAAAGGAGGAAUAAAAAUCAAAUAAACAAACAAACAAACAAACACUUUGAGCUAUCAUUCCCUACUCUCUACCUUGCCUUCUUGUCUUUGUGGCAAGUUAAAACUACAAUCUUCUGGGUUGCUUCAGUGUUAAGCCAGCAGAAUGGAAGCAGGAGUCUGUCAUGGGCAAUUUCAAAUAAAUUGCAAAAGAAAGGCAAAGAAAAUAAAUGAAAAAGGGAGAUACAGUUGGAAUGAUUACCAGUUAUUAGGCUCCAGUAAAUUUCAAUUUAGGUAUCUUAUUAUAUAUUUUAAAUGCAUCUAUGUUCUUAAGACGUACCACAUUAUUCCAGUAUCUCAAAAAUUCAAGGGAGAAAUUGGCUGGAUUCACACAUAAAUACAAACUAUAAUACCGUUAGUUGUUUGGGGGUUAAUGUAUCAACUCCCAUAUUGUUCAACAAAACAAGAUCACAGAUCCACGAUCAAAAUUAUGUGUAAAUAUAUCCACAGUUCCAAACCAGAGAUUACAAUAGAAUCAGAACUCCAUAAUUUAAAACUUAAACCAUGGGUCAGGAUUUUCAGUCUAAAAGGAUAAAGAUUUAGAGUUGCAUAUAUAAUUAUCCUUAACACUCCCUUUUCUACAGAGCAGGAGCUUUUCAGAUGUAAGGCAGUGGCUGUAACCACGAUCACCCUUAGUGAAAACCCCAAUGUAACAAUGUUAUCCACACUGAUUUCGUAUUCUGGUUUGCCGAUCCUAAACUAUGAUUUCUCAAUUUAUAUUUUAUAGAAGUAAUAGUUAAACUUCUUAGCAUGAUUUCAGAUGUCUAAAUUCACCUACUAAGUUAGAUAUGGCAAAGUAAAACCUACUUCACACACUCAAAAAAUAUUACUAAACAUUUUAUCUAAUCUUUAGCUUAAAAAAAGCUCCAUAGCUAAACUGAGAGAUUAGAUUGAAUAAGACUUGUCUGUCUGUCUACAAGUACUUUCAAACAACAAAAAAAAUCUAAGCAUCUUAGGAAAGUAAUGUACCAUACAUAUAACAUACAUAUAUAAUAUCAACAACUGAAAAUCAGCAGCCACCAUCAAUUAUACUGUACCUACAUAUUCUAAGUACCUGUCACCUCAGCAUCUCAAUCCUCUCAACUAAUCAUCCAAUUUCCACCAACAUUUUAUCAAGGAUAAAGGAUGUUGGAGGCAGCCGUACCACAGGAGGGGAGCACUGGCAAACCAUACUCUCUUUCAAGAUCCUUCUCAUUAUGCCUUAUGGGGGAUGAGAGCUCUACUGGCCCAUCAUCUUUGGUGGGCAGACUCUACAUGCAGCAACAGAUGUGCAUAAACCUAGACAGCCAGCCAUGUAGGACUAAUUGGUACUAGCACCUGUAAACAAAUAGACAGUCAAUGCAGCUGCUAUGACAAUACUGGGAUAACUGUUAGGCAGUUGCAUUCUACAGGUUUUGAGGUAUCCUCAAGAUUAGUCUCAUGUUUGGCAUGUUACAGUGGUCCCUUUAGGAUUUCCCAAAAUGUGAAGUACACCUCCAUUGUGGGAAGUACAGACAAUCCUGGGCAGGUAUGGAGAACCUUUCAGUUAUACAUUAUUACCAGAAGUCACCUUCCACAAAAUUUAAUUGUACUGUUUACAUUGUUUAUUUAUGUUCAGUUAGUGUUUGGGUUUUUAGGGGAGAUGUGUACAUUAAGAUUAUACUAAAGGGAGGUGUGAUGGCAAAACAUUUAGGAACCCUUGCUUUAGGAGGAUGACAAGGGCACGAGUGACUAUAUCAUACCUCUCUUCUAGGAACUGGAAUUUUUACAAUAGCCAAAGCUAGGCAAAAGUCUCUCCUGGCCACAGUGUUACUUUGGUCUUCAGCACGAGCUGUGAGUCCAUAAGAAUCUUCGACUACAGUAACCAGCUUCUUGUUCGGGAUCGCGGCGCUCGCAGUUGUGCAAGGAGACGGCUCUCCUUGCCAGCUGAUUCUCCGCUGCCAGUAGACCCUAAAUCGGGUCGAAAAGCCGCCUUGGAGUGGUGGCUACCGGUGAGGAGGUCCUCGCCAUCCUUGGGAGAGCGGCAGCUUCUUCCAGGGACUGAGAUUGCUCCUUUGGGCCGAUGGUGGAAAGAACAGCCAGUAAAAUGGGCGUUCAUCUAGCCGCUGCAACCAGAAGUCAGAAGAACAUCUAAGCACAGGAACCACUGUGGCUGAGCUGGGUGAGACUUUUUUCUUUCCCUCUUUUGAUUCUCCUUUUUCUUUUGUGCCUGUAAAAAGCACUUUUGAAAUUAUUUCCCUGCUCUAAGAAAGUGGCGUUUGUGAGUGUGGAGAAAAGAAGCUUAAAUAGACUGAAUUAAUUUAAAGUGAUUUUUUUUUCCUAUUUUUAUUUUUUUUUUCCUUCACUUUGGGGUCUUGGAAAAUUUUGUGAAUAUUGAAUCUGCUACUGAGUUUCCUGAUCUUGUUUAGGAGAUUCCUGGUCUCUGGGAGAAGAUUUUACAUUGUACUGAGGACACCUUGUGGAAAACAUUAAAAUUGCAACUUUCUCUUUUUAGGAUUGGACUGACCUUGUCUUUCAGAUUAUCAUAAAAGGGAAAAUACAAAGAAAAUUAACAGCUGUACUGGUGGGGGUGGACACCGAUUAAAUGUUCUCUGAACACAGCCUCUACUAAAUGAUACAGACUGUUUUUUAUUAUCUUUGAAAUGGAGCAACCCUUGGUUCAACUUGACUAUAAACAUAUACUGGAAAAACUUUAUGAAGCUACUGAUGAAAUGUUUCAGGGAAUUUAACAAUCUUUAUGAGAAAAAAAAUGUGUAAAGGGAGAAAAGAACAUGUACCCCAGAAAAAGAGAAGUCUCAGCCCCUAACCAUGCCAAGUUAAUUACCUAUCUCUCAAAUCUCAUCAAUGCAUUUUCAUCUCACAGUGUCUCAAAUGUCUUAUUUCUAAUAUUAUUUUUUCAUUAACACAUAACUAAACAAAGCAGUCGCUUAACAAGGACUAUCUAUGUUGGGUUAGGAUGGAUGAAGCCCUUUGUAAAAUGUGUUUGAAUCGAGUGGUAAGAUUUCAUCUUGUUGUUUUGUAUUAUGUUUGUUAUAGCUUAAUGUAUUGUGAACUGUCCACAAUGCAGUUUGUAGUCAUGGUUUGGAGUCAUGCAGCAACUAAGUCACAAUAAACAAAUUAAAUAUAGACUAACUCUGGAAGUAUUUUAAAAGUCAGUUUAUAAAUGUUUCAAAUAAAUAUCUGCUUGUCCAAGACUACACCAUCUCUCUCACUGAUCACUUAGGAUUGAUGGAAGUUAAAUGAGCAAUUAACUCAUCCCUUUCAAAUAGAGAUUAAAUUUAAAUUAAUUCUGAAUUGAUCAAUUCAGCUACAUUUUUUGUAAAUGGAGAUAGUCCUUUAAAGGAGCAGGGCUGUAGACCCUCUCUGGUUUUCUUGCAUAAACAAUAUCUAAAAAAAUGCAGACUAUAUAGCAAUACAUUGUUCUCUAGCAAUUUUGCUUUUUUAAUUUUCAAUACACUAGAUAGACUUCAGCUCUUUAAAAGAGAACCUAUAUCUAUCCCAUCUGUUCCAAACAGCCAAUAAACAGGACAAAACUGCAGAUCUUUCCACUUGUAUGGAACAAAGCCAAAGGUAAAGAAUGCAAAGCUCUCUCCACUCACCAAAUGGAAAGGCCAUAAGCUUUUUUAGCUUAUGGCUUUUGGCUUUUAGUUUCUCACAUGUGCACACACCUGCUAGAAUAAGACAAUUCUAGCCAAAAUUUCAAGAAAUGUACUCUUCUAGGCAAGUGCCAACAACAUAUAUUGUUUCCUUUGUGUACUUCCAUUACAAAAGGAAAAUGUGCAUUAAAAUCUUUUAUAUGGAAUCCAGGAAGCUUGGCACAAGCUUGAAGUCCGUGAAGUCCAGUGUCCUGUAAAGCAACACUGUUAGGUGUAUCAUGGACCACUAUUCCCAUUAUUCUCCCAGCCAGACUCACUGAAGAUUAUGGAACUUGCAUUCCAUUGUACAAAUAGUCCUCGAAAUAUGACUGUAAUGGAUAUUGCCAUUACAGUCACAUGUUGUGAUGGUCGUUAUUGAAGCAUCUCACCUAAUGACCCUCCUGUUCCUAUUCUCCCCAAUGAAUCAUUAAACAAUUGCCUGGGUCUUUAAGUGGAGCAUGGGAUGCCUCAGAGGUGGGGAGGUCCUUAGAGGCCUAGCCUAGACCCAGGCCUACUUCUCCUGAUCCUACCUCAUUCAUGCGUGCCAACAUUUUGUUACAUGAAUAAAAGACUUUUUAGGAUAAACAAUAUCUGGAAGUUCUUUGAAGUGUUUCAUUAGUCGGAAUCAUGACAAAGGCCUUGCCUACUCAUCCCAAGACACCCUAUGCUCCGCUUCCUUCCCCUUGAGUCCUCCACAGUUCUUUUCCCAUUCCCAUCUUUAGGCCAGAUUCCCACCCUACCAGGCCAAACAUCUUCCUCCUCACUUAGUUUUAGAAGAGCUCCAAGGCCUUCCAGAGCACCGGGACGAAUUGCUUCUUUCUACAGCUGCAUAGCACAGGUCCAAAAACAGCCAGCAUUUCAUCCCACCCACAAAAUGGCGGCUGAGUUCAGAUUGCCACUGUGUGGCCCAGGGACAAACUUUAUUUUGCUGCCUUAAUGAGGUCUACACAGUUCUGCAAAAACUUUCUGCAGCAUUCAGAAGCUUCAGCAGCUCUGUGCAGACAUUGUUAAGGCAGCAAAAUAAAGCGGUUUGUCUGGAGGCUGCCAUUUUGUCCCCACCCACAAGCAGGCAUAUCAAAAUGGCAACCAUGUUCAGGCUGCCUCCGCAGGGCCGAGGGACAUGUGGCCUGCCCUCCUUCCCUAACAUGAGAACCAGAGAGCUUCAAAAGGUAAG